UACGAAGGGUGCAAGCGUUACUCGGAAUUACUGGGCGUAAAGCGUGCGUAGGUGGUCUGUUAAGUCUGAUGUGAAAGCCCUGGGCUCAACCUGGGAAUUGCAUUGGAUACUGGCAGGCUAGAGUGCGGUAGAGGGUAGUGGAAUUCCCGGUGUAGCAGUGAAAUGCGUAGAUAUGCGGAGGAACACCGAUGGCGAAGGCAAUCCCCUGGACCUGUACUGACGCUCAUGCACGAAAGCGUGGGGAGCAAACAGG
rnacentral:rRNA from 1 species